UGAGUGUCCAUGACAAGUGAUUAUUUAUUGUUUUUGAGAGGCCAUCAGCGCCUGUGAAGGGCGAGCCGUCGGCACCACAUUGCCGCAUUGAUAAGACUACGACCAACAGUUACUGAAAUUCCUCCAUUUGACGAGAAAUAUUUUUAUUAUUUCUAGUCUAUACUCCCUCCGUUACUUUAUGUAAGGUCUAUUGUUUACGGUAUGGACUAAGGCACAUAAUUAUAGACAAUUUAUGACAAAAUUACCCUUAGCUAAUUCGUUGAUUAGUGGAAACUAAAUCAUUCAGGCUAUGAAAGCAAGAGAUACACACAAUCGGAAGAGAUGUUUUUUCUUUUUUCUUUACAAAGAGAGAUACAUGCAAUCGAAAAGAGAUACUUUCUUUUUCCGGAGGGUUAGAAUUAUGUGAAACUGAAAGAAAUAUACCUUAUAUUAUGAAAUUUUAUCAAAAAACAAAUACACAUUAAAUAAAGUAACGGAGGAGUAUUACAUACCAUGUAAUGAGUUAUGAUGGUACGCAUCAAGGGGGGCUUCUCACGCUAAACACGUCAUCACAAGGAGAUAAAAAAAAGGCGUUACCAUUAGGUGGGAGGGACUCGGACUGGGACGCUCGCGUAUUGGGCAGAAAGAGAGAGACAAAAAAAAUCACGCUCCUCACCUCUCGCAUUCUCACCCCACGCACGCCAUCUCCUCUCGCUCCGCAAGCCAAAGCUCGGAUAUUAUGGAGAGCAUGAUAUUAUGAUAUUAUGGAGAGUAAUUCAUGUCUCCGCCAAAGCUCGGUCAGCAAGAGUUACCCACAUAUAUGGUAUUUAUUUACAAAAGUUAAUACGUAGCAUAAUCUGAGGAAACAUUUAACGCAUUCAAACCUGGAUCCUAAGAAAGCAUUUAAUGCAUUAAAACCAUAAGCCUCUAUAUAAACGAAUACCACCAAGGCUCAGCCAGUAAACAUUGCAGCAACACCACCCAGAUCCAGAUCAGAAAGAAGCUCCAGCAUCUCCUCAUGGCAGUCCUCGGCAAGAGUAAUAGCGUUGUGUGCCUCACAGCACUAGUGCUCAUGGCCACCGUUCUCUCCUCACGUGCCGACAAUGGAUGCGACAUCGGUCCAUUUCCCAAGGAAAACUGUACUGAGCUAUGUCAUAAAGCAUGCGGUCAUGCCGGCGUUUGCCUUUUAGGAGAUGACGAGAAGUAUUACUGUUGUUGUGAACCUGUACGCCAAGACGGAUCCAUGAGGCCUCAAGAGGUUGCUGAAAUGAUACAAACAUAGUGUCAUGGAUCACCAGAGCCAUGUCGAAUAAAUGUGCUAGGUCUUUUUGAACUUGUAUCGAAUUUGAUAGCUAGUAUCGUCUGUUCCUCGGUUGGAUCCAAUGAACUUGUAUUCCCCAUCUGAUAAAGUUUGUUUUUGUUGGCCCCA